AGAACAACAUUGAAGAAAGUUCCCAGAGGUUUCCUUCCGCUGCCGACGGACUGUUGAACAACGUCACACACCUGGCGUUCGGCCGUCCAGCCGUUCUCUUCCAGACGUCAUACACACAGCUGUGUCACUCGGAUUACUGCAGCGGCUUCAGUCACGUCAUCAACAUGCCGCUGUGGAGCGCCUUCACACUCACAGCACAGGUGGAGGCUCCAGCCGUGUCGUCCAGCGAGUGUGUGAGAGCAGACCCUCGUCUCGAUCACACACACACAUGUAACACGUACAGCCAGGAGCCCGAUGUCACACACGCGUUCCUCUACCCGCCGGAUUUCUCUGCUGCGGCUGAAUCCAGAUAUGAAGCUUCACUCAUCACAAACACGGUUCCAAUGUAUCCCGCUUUCAAGAAGGUGUGGAGUUUCCUGCAGAGAGACGUCCUCAGGAGAUACAGUCUGGAGAAUAAUGGCAUAAAUGUGAUCAUGGGACCCAUAUUUGACCAUGACCACGACGGGCUGAGAGACACGGAGGAGAUGAUC